AUGUGGGUAAGAAUUACCCUAAAUCUCCUUUCCCUUUCCUCUCUUUCCCUUUCUGCAGAGAAUAUCACCACCUUGAAGCCAGAGACUGCAACUGAAGAAUUCAGCGGGUGGGUGAGAGAGGGGCUGGAGCUAUGGAGCGGGAGAGUUGGAGAAGGGGUCUGCUUGGCCCUGAUGUGGGGAUGGUGUGAGUGGGACCAUGGCCUUGGAGGUUGGGAAGAGAAGAGAGGCUUCAAACGGAGGCAAGAGAUGGUUGGCUACUGGGGAUGUGGAAGCCCAGAGGUGGAAGAGCUCCUGGAGGAGGGAGGCCCCAGGGCAAUUUGUGGACAGUCAUUAAAGCUAGCCAGAGCCGCUGUGGCGUCCUCAUCGCUCUCGUUUGCUUCUCUCAGUUUAGGCACAGCAGCCACAGCCAUUUCUGUCUCCGUUGGCGUCAUGGCCCUCAUCUUGCUCCUAGUGGGUCUCUUGUCCAUGACCCUGAAGAAAUGGAGGCACGAGAGACUAUUUAAGAAACAACUGAGGCAUCAGACCAACCUUCUCCACAAAUCCUCGGAGCUGUCCUGCCAUGCAGAUGCCAUAUAUUGCAAUGUGAUCAACCUGGCCCCCUGGAAAGAGGAUGACUUCGCCAUCUAUGCCAACGUGCUCCCUUUUGAUCACCCCAGGAGAACAUCACCAGACCAAGUGGAAUACACCUCCGUGCUGUUCCACUGA
rnacentral:lncRNA from 1 species